AACGUAGGAGACAAACGUUAUCCGGAGUUACUGGGCGUAAAGGGCGUGUAGGCGGUUAGGUAAGUCUGGCGUGAAAGCUCUCGGCUAAACCGGGAGAGGUCGUUGGAUACUGGCAAACUAGAGGACGGUAGAGGCGUGUGGAAUUCCGGGUGUAGUGGUGAAAUGCGUAGAGAUCCGGAGGAACACCAGUGGCGAAGGCGACACGCUGGGCCGUACCUGACGCUAAAGCGCGACAGCAUGGGGAGCAAACGGG
rnacentral:rRNA from 1 species